UACGUAGGGCGCAAGCGUUGUCCGGAAUUAUUGGGCGUAAAGAGCUCGUAGGCGGUCUGUCGCGUCUGGUGUGAAAGUCCGGGGCUCAACUCCGGAUCUGCGGUGGGUACGGGCAGACUAGAGUGAUGUAGGGGAGACUGGAAUUCCUGGUGUAGCGGUGAAAUGCGCAGAUAUCAGGAGGAACACCGAUGGCGAAGGCAGGUCUCUGGGCAUUAACUGACGCUGAGGAGCGAAAGCAUGGGGAGCGAACAGG
rnacentral:rRNA from 1 species